UAGGGGUGGAAACGAGCUGAGCUUGAGCGAGCUUACCUCGGCUCAAAUUCGGCUUGAAAUUAAUUUCGAGCCUAAAUUUAAGCUCAAGCUUGGAUUGAAAUUAAUUCGAGCCGAGCUCGAGCGAGCCUAAUUUCAAGUCGAGCGAGCUCGAGCCCUACGAGCCACUUGAAAUUCUCAACAUUAUACGACCAAUAGUUUAAUUUGUAUAGAACAUUAUCUAUAAUUUGAUAUAAAAAUAUGUCUAAUAGUUCAAAGUACAAAAUAAUUAUAUGAAAUAUAGUAUUAUAAUAUGAAAAAAAAUAAUUUAUGAAUUGAAUAUCUAAUUUUUUCAGCCUCACAUGUCUUUUCUUCCGCCUUCAAUCUCUAUAUUAUUCAUUUUUAUUUAUGCAGUCAAAAAUAAAUAAUUUAUAUAGAUAAAUAUUGAAUUAAACUAUCCAAUCAUAUAUAACUAAAAUUAAAAUUUUAUAUGAAUAAUAAUUUUUUACUUUAAAAAUAUUCUGUAUAUUUUCUCAAGCAUACAAUUAAUAGUAAGGUAGUCAACGACGGGCAUAUGAUGUUACUUGGUAACUUAGAGGGUUUCCGGCUUGGCCACUUAGGGUGAGAGACAGAAAAAGAGAAAGAGAGAAACAUAUUGAAAAUUUAGAGCUCUGUGAAAGAAGAAAGAAAGAAAAAAUAUAUAAAUUUAGUAAAAUUUUACUCUUUUAUUUGUCUAUUGGAUUUGUUUUUAUGGGCCAACAACAUUGGCCUAUUUUAACUAAACUCAGAUUAUUCACUCAGCCUAUAUAUAAUUAAAAUAUAUUAUAUUUAUAUAUUUUUUAAUAUGUAUAUAGUGUAGAACUACUAUGCUAUCGAAAAUAUAGAGGAUUUGAUAUUUUUGAAUUUUUGACCCUUUGAUUAAAAAUUGUGUGGUUGGGAUGAUUGCGGUCUCCCCUAGGAUUAAAUAAUACUCUUAGGAUUGAGGGGUCCCUACAAGGUAAUAAUAAUAUUAAUCCAAAGAUAAGAAACGAUUAAAGGGAUUGAUCUAAGAAUCAAAAAAUCGAAAGCACCAUAUCUUUAUACUUUUGAUAGCAUAGUAGCUCUACUAUAUAUAUAUAUAUAUAUAUAUAUAUUCGAGCUUUUCGAGCCUAAUUCGAACGAGCCGAGUAAUACUCAAGCUCGGCUUGAAAUGAAUUUCGAGCCUUUUUUUUUGUUCAAGCUCGGCUCAUU
rnacentral:lncRNA from 1 species